CCCAGAGUCACAUCAGGACAGCACAGCAGAUCCCACAAAACACAUUACAUCUGUAAAUGUUCUUUACCAGCCCUCGGAUGUUUUGAUCAACAAACAACAGAAACAGGGAAAUCCAGAAGAAAAUGAGAAUGUUUAUCACCUGUACAGCACGAUCCCUGAAAACUAGUUCACUCAAAUGCAGACGAUCAAGCCUAGAGUUUGCUGAAGAUGUCUUGUUUCAUUAUGUACUCGCAAUGAAGUAUCUUUACUUGCAGACAAACAUAUUUUAAUUUUCAUAAUUUAUGUAACCUUUAUUGAGAGGAUCUUCUGUGGCAAGGCCCACUGGCAUAAUACUUUUUUUUUU